GUUGCAGUUAAAAAGCUCGUAGUUGGAUUUCGGAACCGGCCGAUUGGUCCGUCCUCUGGAUCGUGUACUGAUCGGUCUGUUCUUCUUCGCGAAGACCGCGUGUGCUCUUAACUGAGUGGGCGUGGGAUUCGCGACGUUUACUUUGAAAAAAUUAGAGUGUUCAAAGCAGGCAGUCGCUUGAAUAUCUCAGCAUGGAAUAAUAGAAUAGGACUUUGGUCUUAUUUUGUUGGUUUCCGAGACCGAAGUAAUGAUUAAUAGGGACAGUUGGGGGCAUUCGUAUUUCAUUGUCAGAGGUGAAAUUCUUGGAUUUAUGAAAGACGAACUUCUGCGAAAGCAUUUGCCAAGGAUGUUUUCAUUAACCAAGAACGAAAGUUGGAGGCUCGAAGACGAUCAGAUACCGUCCUAGUUCCAACCAUAAACGAUGCCGUCUGCGGAUCGGAGGUCGCUCAUGUAAGGCUCCUUCGGCACGCUAUGAGAAAUCAAAGACUUCGGGUUCCGGGGGGAGUAUGUUCGCAAGAAUGAAACUUAAAGGAAUUGACGGAGGGGCACCACCAGGAGUGGAACCUGCGGUUUAAUUUGACUCAACACGGGAAAACUC
rnacentral:rRNA from 1 species